rnacentral:rRNA from 1 species
UCGGUUAUCGAUGGGGAUGCGUUCCAUUAGUUAGUUGGCGGGGUAACGGCCCACCAAGACGACGAUGGAUAGGGGUUCUGAGAGGAAGGUCCCCCACAUUGGAACUGAGACACGGUCCAAACUCCUACGGGAGGCAGCAGUGAGGAAUAUUGGUCAAUGGACGAGAGUCUGAACCAGCCAAGUAGCGUGAAGGAUGACUGCCCUAUGGGUUGUAAACUUCUUUUAUAUGGGAAUAAAACAGGGUAUGCAUACCCUCUUGUAUGUACCAUAUGAAUAAGGAUCGGCUAACUCCGUGCCAGCAGCCGCGGUAAUACGGAGGAUCCGAGCGUUAUCCGGAUUUAUUGGGUUUAAAGGGAGCGUAGGUGGAUUGUUAAGUCAGUUGUGAAAGUUUGCGGCUCAACCGUAAAAUUGCAGUUGAAACUGGCAGUCUUGAGUACAGUAGAGGUGGGCGGAAUUCGUGGUGUAGCGGUGAAAUGCUUAGAUAUCACGAAGAACUCCGAUUGCGAAGGCAGCUCACUGGACUGCAACUGACACUGAUGCUCGAAAGUGUGGGUAUCAAACAGGAUUAGAUACCCUGGUAGUCCACACAGUAAACGAUGAAUACUCGCUGUUUGCGAUAUACAGUAA